rnacentral:rRNA from 1 species
GACGAACGCUGGCGGCGUGCUUAACACAUGCAAGUCGAGCGGUAAGGCCCUUUCGGGGGUACACGAGCGGCGAACGGGUGAGUAACACGUGGGUGACCUGCCCUCAGCUCUGGGAUAAGCCUGGGAAACCGGGUCUAAUACCGUAUAUGACUCCAUGACGCAUGUUGUGGGGUGGAAAGCCUUGUGCGGCUGAGGAUGGGCCCGCGGCCUAUCAGCUUGUUGGUGGGGUGAUGGCCUACCAAGGCGACGACGGGUAGCCGGCCUGAGAGGGCGACCGGCCACACUGGGACUGAGACACGGCCCAGACUCCUACGGGAGGCAGCAGGUGGGGAAUCUUGCGCAAUGGGCGAAAGCCUGACGCAGCGACGCCGCGUGAGGGAUGACGGCCUGGU